rnacentral:rRNA from 1 species
AGUGAACGCUGGCGGUAGGCCUAACACAUGCAAGUCGAACGGCAGCACCGUAAGAGCUUGCUCUUACGGGUGGCGAGUGGCGGACGGGUGAGGAAUACAUCUGAAUCUACUUUUUCGUGGGGGAUAACGUAGGGAAACUUACGCUAAUACCGCAUACGACCUACGGGUGAAAGCAGGGGAUCUUCCGACCUUGCGCGAUUGAAUGAGCCGAUGUCGGAUUAGCUAGUUGGCGGGGUAAAGGCCCACCAAGGCGACGAUGCGUAGCUGGUCUGAGAGGAUGAUCAGCCACACUGGAACUGAGACACGGUCCAGACUCCUACGGGAGGCAGCAGUGGGGAAUAUUGGACAAUGGGCGCAAGCCUGAUCCAGCAAUACCGCGUGGGUGAAGAAGGCCUUCGGAUUGUAAAGCCCUUUUGUUGGGAAAGAAAAGCAGCAGGUUAAUACCCCGCUGUUCUGACGGUACCCAAAGAAUAAGCACCGGCUAACUUCGUG